GGUUCAUUCAAAUUUCUGCCUAUCAACUUUCGACGGCUGGGUCUUGGCCAGCCGUGGUGACAACGGGUAACGGAGGGUUAGGGCUCGACCCCGGAGAAGGAGCCUGAGAAACGGCUACUACAUCCAAGGAAGGCAGCAGGCGCGCAAAUUACCCAAUCCCGACCGGGGAGGUAGUGACAAUAAAUACUGAUACAGGGCUCUUUUGGGUCUUGUAAUUGGAAUGAGUACAAUUUAAAUCCCUUAACGAGGAACAAUUGGAGGGCAAGUCUGGUGCCAGCAGCCGCGGUAAUUCCAGCUCCAAUAGCGUAUAUUAAAGUUGUGAGGUUAAAAAGCUCGUAGUUG
rnacentral:rRNA from 1 species